rnacentral:rRNA from 1 species
GGAGUGGACAGACCUCUGGUGUGUCAGUUGUCGUGCCAACGGCAUCGCUGAGUAGCUACGUCUGGCAAGGAUAACCGCUGAAAGCAUCUAAGUGGGAAACCUGCCCUAAGAUUAGAUUCCCCAAACCUUGUGUUUGUAAGACCGCAGGAAGACUACCUGCUUGAUAGGCGACCAGGUGUAAGCACAGCAAUGUGUGAGCCUAGGCGUACUAAUGGUCGAGAGGCUUCACCAAUAACA